AGGGCCUGACGGUUGCUAGGGUGACAGGGACACAACAUGGCGGCCGGAUGCUAACGCUCUCCUUCGAGGGACCACGACGGAGAUCCUAGUGCGGGACCCCGCCUCAGGGAAGUGGAAAGCAGGGGGACACCCUUCCUGCCUCUUUCUUUUCGGUCCAGUGUCGGCAAGGGGUUGUCUCUUCCGCAUCCAAGAUGAAGAACUAUAAAGCAAUUGGCAAAAUAGGAGAGGGAACGUUUUCUGAAGUUAUGAAGAUGCAAAGCCUGAGAGAUGGAAACUAUUAUGCAUGUAAACAAAUGAAGCAACGCUUUGAAAGUGACAGAAAAUCUGGUUCUCUUGCACUAAUAUGUGAACUUAUGGACAUGAAUAUUUAUGAGCUAAUACGAGGGAGAAGAUACCCAUUAUCAGAAAAAACAAUUAUGCACUAUAUGUACCAGUUAUGUAAGUCCCUUGAUCACAUCCACAGAAAUGGAAUAUUUCACAGAGAUGUAAAACCAGAAAAUAUACUAAUAAAGGAUGUCCUGAAAUUAGGGGACUUUGGCUCCUGCCGGAGUGUCUAUUCCAAGCAGCCAUACACGGAAUACAUCUCCACCCGCUGGUACCGGGCCCCAGAGUGUCUCCUCACCGAUGGGUUCUACACGUACAAGAUGGACCUGUGGAGCGCCGGCUGCGUGUUCUACGAGAUCGCCAGUCUGCAGCCCCUCUUCCCUGGAGUAAAUGAACUGGACCAAAUCUCAAAAAUCCACGAUGUCAUCGGCACACCUGCUCAGAAGACCCUCACCAAGUUCAAACAGUCGAGAGCUAUGAAUUUUGAUUUUCCUUUUAAAAGGGGAUCAGGAAUACCUCUACUGACAACCAAUUUGUCCCCACAAUGCCUCUCCCUCCUGCACGCAAUGGUGGCCUAUGAUCCCGAUGAGAGAAUCGCUGCCCACCAGGCCCUGCAGCACCCCUACUUCCAAGAACAGAGAACCCAGAACAGAAGCAAGGAUGAGGCCUCAGCCGUCUUCCUCCCCAUUCAAACACGUUCAUCCCGCAAUCCUCUGCUAAGCACCCGCGUGCUGCCCGGCUGCACUGUCGCCCUUCUUGGUGCGAGCCUACCCUCGUCCACCCGCCUCACCCUCCUGACCUUAAAGAAGACACCAGGCAGAAGCACAGGGGAGCCCAGCCACUCCCCACACUGGUGGGGGCGGGCCUUGCGAGGAGAAGCAGUAAGCAGCCAUCUCCGUCAGCCAUCUCUGUCUGGCGCUCAGAUGUGCAUGCCUUCGUGUGACAGGCAGCAGCAGUGAGACCGUGACCUCCCGUCUCCUGCUCUGCUGCCCCCACACCUGCGGUGCAGCCAGCCUGCCACGAGGCGGCUAGAGUCCAGCUAGACCCACCCCUGGCAUGGCUGACCUCUUCCUGGCUUUCUCUGGAGGAGCGUGCAUUCUUCAACGCCAGAAGUGUAAGAAAGUACAAGGCAACAAGUGAGAAAAACCCAAAUCGUACCAGGGAAGUUCGUCUUUCCAGGGCGUCUGAGUGAGGGCAUGACCAGCCUUGAUGCUGCCUCACUGCCAUCUGCCCAGGGCCUGCUGAAUGCUUGAGUCCAUGGUGACAGUGGUGGGGACAGUUACGAGGCAGUUAGAUUUUGGAAGUCAUCUUGGCCGACUUGGCUACAGAGCAGUCUUAGGAAUAGCACCAUAAAAAUAAGGAUUUAUUCCUGGCACAGAUGGAUCUAGAGUAAACUGGGGCAUAUCUGACAGUGUUAGUACUGUGAUGGCCAAAUGCAAACUGUACUCCAGAACCAGCGAAGGGUGACAGACUGGGCUGAGGCAGAGCCAGGACUAACUAUCUCGAGUGAUACCAUCUCGGGGCCAGCAAAAGUUGUGGACACAGCUGGGUCAUCUGACCAAACUGCUCAAAUCUUGACAUUACUGUCCUGGAAACAGUAACAGGACAGUAACAAACAGACAGUAACAAACAGGAAACAGAAUAAGGAGAUGACCAGGAAGAUUGCCGGAUUAAGAAUUCUAGACUUGGCCAGGUGCGGUGGCUCAUACCUGUAAUCCUAGCAUCUUGGGAGGCUGAGGCAGGAGGAUCGCUUGAGUCCAGGAGUUUGAGACCAGCCUUGGCAACAUAAGGAGACCCCAUCUCUACAAAAUACCAAAAAAUUACCCAGGUGUGGUGGCACACAUGCGUGAUCCCAGCUACUCGGGAGGCUGAGGUGGGAGGAUCACUUGAACCCAGGAGGUUGGGGCUGCAAUGAGCUAUGAUCGCACCACUUCUUUCCAGCCUGGAUGAUAGAAGACUCACACCAUAGUUCAUGGCCUCAUGAUCCAGAGGCCCUGCUGGGGCCUCUGAGUGGGGCAGGCUGAGAACUCAAGCUGUAACUAAUCUCUCCUCUAAAGAAAACUAAACCAAGGGCUCAGCUGAUGUGAAGUUUUCUGUGGCUGCAUUCAUACAAAUGGUGAAAAUGUAGCAUACCUCCCCUCAAAAGCCCGAAAUUAAAGACAUGCCCCCAAUUUAAUGUGAUCAAUUACAGAAAUAGGUUUCAGACACUUCAUGGUUUAAAGUCUCACAAAAUAAAGCUUUCAAAGGAUCCAGUUGUAUAUGAUUUUUUAAAAAAAUAAACAUUCUUCUGUUUGGUAGCUGCA